UACAGUGGGCUCGAGCGUUAGUCGGAAUCACUGGGCUUAAAGGGUGCGUAGGCGGUCCACCAAGUGCUUUGUGAAAUCCCCGAGCUCAACUCGGGAACUGCAGGGCAAACUGGAGGACUUGAAGCAGGUAGGGGCUGGAAGAACAGUAGGUGGAGCGGUGAAAUGCGUAGAUAUCGGGAGGAACACCGGUGGCGAAGGCGGUUCUCUGGGCCUUACCUGACACUGAGGAGCGAAAGCGUGGGGAGCGAACAGG
rnacentral:rRNA from 1 species